rnacentral:rRNA from 1 species
CUGCUCACUGAUUUUUAAAGAGCCGCAAUAUAUUGAUUGUGCUAAGGUAGCAAAAUAAUUAGUUUAUUAAUUGUAAACUAGUAUGAAUGGUUUAACGUAUUCUAGUCUUUUUUAAUUUUUUUGUUAAAAUUUAUUUUUAAAGUGCAAAAACUUUAAUAUAAUUGAAAGAGGAUAAGACCCCAAGAAUUUUUUUUUUAUUUAAAUGUAUUAAAAUUUUUAUUAUUUGUUUAUUUAAAUUAAAAUUAGUUGGGGUGACUUUUAAGUAAAAUAAAUCUUAAAUUAAAAAUACUAUAAUAGGUUUGUUUGAUUAAAUUUUUUUAUUUUAGAUAAAUUACCUUGGGGAUAACAGCGUUAUAAAUGUUUAUAGAUUUUAUUUAAACAUUUGAUUGCGACCUCGAUGUUGGAUUAAGUUUUUUUUUGGAACAUAAGCUAAAAAUAAAGG